GUAGAGGGGGGUGGGUGGCACUCUGAAGGCUAUCCAGCACGAUCCGGCCCUUUCCCUUGGCAAUUCUGUGACACUUUCCAAUCUAAGGCCGACAGAGCAAGGCAACCAGAUUUUUUUCUACAGCACCCUCCCAGGUGAGCAGUGGGCCUGGAGCCCUUCUGUAACCUGGCAUCUGUAGGUCUUCUCAUUAAGAACGAGAGUCAGAAGAGGAAAGGACUUAACACUCAUUACAACUCAGUCAUGGGGUGAGUGAGCAAUGCAAACAGGGAAAACUCACUCCCACUUGGCCAGGGUGCGGGGUGGGUAUGGGAGGGGGCAUGCGCCUAGGCCUUUGCGCUCAUUGGGCAGGUAGCCCCUAGAUAAUGUUCGGACAGCACCCACUCACCCACGCCUGGCCAGUCAGCUGGGACAGGCAGGCCUAAACCAGCCGGCCUCACCUAGAGGCGUCUGCCCCCGAGGCAGACACCGCCCGACGCCCUCGCUUCAGCGGUUCCCAGGAGAGCAGGCGGCAGAGACCAAGUGAUCUACCGCUAAACCUGAGCCCACCUCGACCCUAUUUCUGACGUGUCCUCUGCUAGCGGGGGGAGUGGGAGGGAGAGGAAGGGGCCUCGGGGGGAUGGAUCCCUUAGCCGCUAUUGUCAACUUCCUCGGCAGGAGUGGAUGUCUGUAAAGGUUGGAAGGUAAGGUGGCUCUGGGAAUGGCCUAGCACGCUUCCACGCGGUAGUCGCUCAAAAGUUUCAAACAAGACCUUGUCCUACUGGCCGUGCCACUGGGUCGCGUCGCUCCAGGUCUCCCCUCCUCCCCUCCCCCUCGAAGUAGUGUCCCUGCCACUCCGCAGUUCCACCACCCACGCGGGCCCCCACGCUCACCUGUUGCAGCACUUUGUCCAGGGACUCCGCCCGCGCUAGGCUGUCUGCGCUGAGUCCACUCGCCUCGCGGCAUUGUGGACUCAGGGCAGCCGCCUCGGCGCGAACUAGCGACUUGUGCAGCGUCCCCACCUAAAAGCACCGAGGGUAACCCCAUGAGCCGCUGUGCCUCAACAGGCUCUGAAGCGUCCCGAGGUCCCCUCUUUCCCACCCUACCUGUCGGCUGCGCGGCUCCACCACUUGCCAAACUAGGAGGAUUAAGUCGGUCUCGUCCGAGCCUAGGUCCGGCCCCAGCGCACCGGCAGUGGCCCCGAACAAAACCACCAGCGACUGAGGUUCGGGACAAGGGUCUGUGGCCGAGUCUACUGCGGGAUCUGGGCCCGGGGGUGGGGGCGGCGGCGGCGGCGGAGUCAUGGCCGCAGAGGAAGGGGGCGCUCGGCCACACACGCGGACCGACGAGGCGCACACACGUACCGACCGACAGCAGACAGACGAGCUUGGGCGGGAUCCGGUGUGUUGGGGGCGGCACCUGCGGCCGGGUGUAGUGGGAGCUGCAGAGACCCGCCCGCGGUGCCCUUUGGGGCUGGGCGGUGCGGCUGCCUAUCCCUGCCUACUCCGGCGAGUUACCUGCGGCCCGGAGAGGCCACGUGAUCAGGACGGCCCAGGGAACCCCGCGGGAGGGCCAAAACCCUGCCCAGGAGGCAAGAGCUCACUUCUGCUGAGGCGUGCGCUCGCCGGCUGGAGUCCCACCUCUUGCUGCAGUCCGGCGAGACUCCUGGGACGAAUCCAUUCUUUCUCCUACUUCCUCUCUAGCAGGCACUCUGAGUCCUCCGCAAAAGAAUGUGCAGGAUCAGAGGCCUCUUUCCAUUCUGCAAGGGUCACGCAAGACCCAUGGAAUUCAACAGGAGGCAAUCUAGGGACUAUAAAAGGUCGCGACGUCUGGCUUGAGGUUAAUGGAAGUUACAAAGGGUCAAAAGCCGACAGUGAGCGCUACCAGGUAUCCACUGGAAGUCGGUGAGAGAGAUCCGUUGGGGAAAGGGAGGGAGGUAAAGAUCAAGGGUUCUUAGAACUGUGGGCGGUCACUAGAGAUCACAGAGAAGGACGUGCCCAUACAGGUGUCGGGUCGGCGUAGUGCCGGCAGUGCAAGGCGCACGUUACUGUGGACCUGAAGGCUCAGGCCUUGGUGCCAAGGUAGGAAAAUCGUGCUUAAACUUUAGAGAGCUGUAUCCUAAAUGAAGCCGUGUCUGCUGGUAGAGAUCUGGAAGUUCAGCCUACCAACCCCACUUGGGGUUUGCCUGCUUGUUUUUGUCUCUCUUGGAUGAUGAUAGAAGUGUUAUCUGGCUAUUGAAAGCACUCCAGCAGAGAGCGGCUAGAGUUGAGAUGUGUAGAGUUGAGUCUGCAUCCCCCAACCCAGUUCAGAAGAGUCCCAUUCAUCCCAUGCAGUUUGGUGAAACUCCCUUACUGUUGUUUCCAGGCCGCCCUGUGGGCUCAGGAUAGUUUCCCACCUACUCGACUGUAAUUAGUACUCUGGCGAGAGUAAAAAGGUACUGGCGUGGGACUUAGAAUACAGGAUGCCACCGGCUGAAGAAGAACCUUGUGUGUUUGGAAAAGCGGGCUGCUUCCUAUCGGUCUUGGAUAAAAGGCAACCCAGAGCCCGGGUGCAUCCCUAACUCAUGCCCAAGGAAGGUCGUGCGGAGCCAGAGGACCUAGAAUGUAUAGUGCGCCUUCUGGGUUUGUCCACACAAUAGCGCAGGAACACAGCGACCCAAUAUAGUGAGAAGUGGCCGCAGCGCACACCCUGAGACCCUUCACCAGGCGGCCCACCCGGAGCCUGCCUACUCAGCCCCGCUACCACGAUAAGCCUGGAAUGUCAAAUAUUUGUUCUAGGAACCCAGUGAAACCUUGAGGUAAAGCCCCUCCCCUCCUCCCUCCCAUUCCGGAGCGCGCCUGCGUCAGUCCAGGCUUUCCGGUAAGGACACUCCCUUCCAACUAGUUCCUUCUCGACACCCCUGCAACCCAUCGUCCUGACUAUUUAAACUUCACAAGGUCUUCGCUACAGGCUCAGGUUCAGUGAGGCAGAGUCUUGGCUUCCCUACCCAGUUAUCCCAGAGCUACUGGUAUCGGUUUCUACCCACAACCUCCGAGCAAGGCUCCCCUUUCAACCUGUAGACCUCGCCUCCCGAUUCUCGGGAGAUCUUGCUGACUGUGGAAUCCCUGGCUGUUCCGAACCCCCUGGAAAGAAGCGGCUGUUCCCAGGUUUCUGCAAGGUAACGAAUCUGAAGAGUCAACAGAAUUGAGCGGCUCCAUUCAUUCGACUCUGGUUCUCUCAACCAGGCAUUCCCCAUAUUAAAACAAUUCCAGAACUUCAAAGUC
rnacentral:lncRNA from 1 species